GUACUGCUGAGGAGUCCCACAAAAGGACGAAAUGGCCGUCCAGUGU
rfam:Schistosoma haematobium scaffold264_6, whole genome shotgun sequence.